AAAAGAUCACAAAGUCCACUUCUGAUAGAUGUGGUAAAUACUCUAGAUAGAUCAGUGGUGGCUAAAUUAGUUGAAGAUUUAAAUUCGUCACUUUCAAGUAAUCAGUUAACGGUUAAACUUCUGUAUCAAACAGAACUGGAUUUAAGUAAAAAGAUUAUGAUAUUAUUGAUGACAAUUGCACUCAAUAUGACAUUUAAACAAAGAAAGCCUGGCAUAAACCUAAAAUGUUCGAUCUGUAGUAAAUUUUCUAAGGGAACAAUAUUAAUUAUGUCUGCUCUUAUUUUAACAUUAAUGGCGUUGGUAGCUAUACUUAUCGCUAAAGAAUGGCUGUAAGAUUGAAUAAUCUUGAAACAGAAGAAUAUUUACAUAAAUUCGAUGUAUUUGGGG